AGCGAACGCUGGCGGCAGGCCUAACACAUGCAAGUCGAACGGACCCUUCGGGGUUAGUGGCGGACGGGUGAGUCACCCGUGGGAACGUGCCUUUAGGUUCGGCAUAGCUCCUGGAAACGGGUGGUAAUGCCGAAUGUGCCCUUCUGGGGAAAGAUUUAUCGCCUUUAGAGCGGCCCGCGUCUGAUUAGCUCGUUGGUGAGGUAACGGCUCACCAAGGCGACGAUCAGUAACUGGUCUGAGAGGAUGACCAGCCACACUGGGACUGAGACGCGGCCCAGACUCCUACGGGAGGCAGCAGUGGGGAAUCUUGCGCAAUGGGCGAAAGCCUGACGCAGCCAUGCCGCGUGAAUGAUGAAGGUCUUAGGAUUGUAAAAUUCUUUCACCGGGGACGAUAAUGACGGUACCCGGAGAAGAAGCCCCGGCUAACUUCGUG
rnacentral:rRNA from 1 species